UGUCUCCCUGCAGCCCGUGGAGAACCAUGGAGAAACAGCUACCUACACUGCAGCCCAUGGAGGACUCCAUGCCACAGCAGCUGGAUGUGGAGCUGCAGCUUGUGGAGGGAGGACCAGAAAGCCAUCCUUGACCUUUACCACAUAAUGGAAGAGUAUGUGCAAAUGUCAAAGAGCUGCUCUUAUCUACUCUUUCCAGUUAUUGUCAUAGGGAGAGCUUAUGCUACAGAUUGCAGAGGCACUAAGUAGUGACUAAAGGAACUUGCCUAUCAACUGCUUAAAGGUAUUCCACAUGUCAGAGGGAUAUGGACUCAAUUCCUAAUAGCUACUGAAAGAAAAGACAUAAAUUGGGAUUUACCUCAGUAACAUUUUGAUUUCUUAGUCUUGUGUCUGAGCCUCUGACAUCU